rnacentral:tRNA from 1 species
GGGGACGUGGUGGAAUUGGCAGACACGCAGCACUUAGGAUGCUGUGCCGCAAGGCUUGAGAGUUCGACCCUCUCCGUCCCCACCU